AAGCGAAGGUCCCAGCGGAGGGGCAAGCCACUCAGAAAUGAGGCCUCUCUAACAUUAUUCAAUAAAAAACCUUCGCAGAGUUACUUGCCAAAUCGUACGGCGUCCAGAAAUCUUUCACUUCUGAGCGUCUUGAACCCUUGGCUACAUUUUU
rnacentral:snoRNA from 14 species